CAGAACGAACGCUGGCGGCAGGCCUAAUACAUGCAAGUCGAGCGCGCCCUUCGGGGUGAGCGGCGGACGGGUGAGUAACGCGUGGGAAUAUGCCCUUCUCUAAGGAAUAGCCUCUGGAAACGGAGAGUAAUACCUUAUACGCCCUUUGGGGGAAAGAUUUAUCGGAGAAGGAUUAGCCCGCGUUAGAUUAGGUAGUUGGUGGGGUAAUGGCCUACCAAGCCUACGAUCUAUAGCUGGUUUGAGAGGAUGAUCAGCCACACUGGGACUGAGACACGGCCCAGACUCCUACGGGAGGCAGCAGUAGGGAAUCUUAGACAAUGGGGGCAACCCUGAUCUAGCCAUGCCGCGUGUGUGAUGAAGGCCCUAGGGUCGUAAAGCACUUUCGCCAGAGAUGAUAAUGACAGUAUCUGGUAAAGAAACCCCGGCUAACUCCGUGCCAGCAGCCGCGGUAAUACGGAGGGGGUUAGCGUUGUUCGGAAUUACUGGGCGUAAAGCGCACGUAGGCGGAUUAGUAAGUUAGAGGUGAAAUCCCAGGGCUCAACCCUGGAACUGCCUUUAAUACUGCUAGUCUUGAGUUCGAGAGAGGUAAGUGGAAUUCCGAGUGUAGAGGUGAAAUUCGUAGAUAUUCGGAGGAACACCAGUGGCGAAGGCGGCUUACUGGCUCGAUACUGACGCUGAGGUGCGAAAGUGUGGGGAGCAAACAGGAUUAGAUACCCUGGUAGUCCACACCGUAAACGAUGAAUGCCAGACGUCAGCAAGUAUACUUGU
rnacentral:rRNA from 1 species